GUUUCAGGAAUUAUGUGGCACAGCAUUCUUCAAUUCAUCUUCAAGAAGAAGAUAAUUACAUGAGCAUUCAAAUAGCAGAAGAGGAUAAAGGGUCAUUGGGUUUCAAGAUGCAGAUCACACAAAAUGAUAAUGAUGACAUCAAAAAACAAGAAACAGAGAAUAAUAAUAUUGCUGAGGAGACACUAAUAUAUGGAUCAGAAUAUCCCAUAUGUAAACAAUGCGGCAACCGAAGACAAAAAAAUGUUUCAGUAAGGGAGUUUACUUAUGCUGAGCUCUACACAGCAACAAAUGGAUUUUCUAAGAAACAUUUCCUAUCUAAGGGAGGAUUUGGAUCUGUCUAUGGAGGAACGCUUACAGACGGCCAAUGUAUUGCUGUCAAGCAAUAUAAACAUGUGAGUUCACAAGGAGAAACGGAAUUCAGGUCAGAGGUUCAUGUUCUUGGCACACUUCAGCACAAAAAUGUGGUCAUGCUACUGGGUUCAUGCUCCGAAGGAAAUCACAGGCUUCUUGUUUAUGAAUAUGUCUGCAAUGGUUCCUUGAAUCAACAUUUAUCAAAAAGCAGCCCAUAUAUUUUGAGUUGGGAACACAGGAUGAAGAUAUUGCUGGGAACGGCAGCAGGUUUGAAUUAUCUGCACCAGAACAACAUAAUCCACAGGGACAUGAGCCCCAACAAUAUCCUUCUAACCCAUGAAUAUGAACCUAUGCUGGGAGAUUUUGGGCUUUCAAGAAAACAACCAGAUCAGUCUUGUUCUUUGUCGGAAAGCAAUGUAGUUGGCACAUUUGGAUACUUGGCACCAGAGUACACAGAACGGGGCAGAGUCUCAACUAAAACCGAUGU